AACGAACGCUGGCGGCAGGCCUAACACAUGCAAGUCGAGCGCGCCCUCCGGGGUGAGCGGCGGUCGGGUGAGUAACGCGUGGGAACGUGCCCUUUUCCACGGAAUAGUCUCGGGAAACUGAGAGUAACACCGGAAACGUCCCUCUGGGGCAAGAUUCAUCGUAAUAGGAACGGCCCGCGUUGUUCUAGGCAGUUGGUGGGGUAAUGGCCUACCAAGGCGUGGAUCCAUAGCUGGUUUGAGAGGAUGAUCAGCCACUCUGAGACUGAGACACGGCGCAGAAUACUACGGGAUGCAGGAGUGGGGAAUCUUAGAAAACGGGGGCAACGAUGAACGAGCCAGGCCGGGUAAGUGAUGAAGGCGUUAGAGAAGUGAAGCACGUUCAGAUGGGAAGAUACUGACGGUACCAGCAGAAGAAGCCCCGGCUAACUCCGUG
rnacentral:rRNA from 1 species